GUACAUAUAUUUUUGUAGAAUAAUUUCAAGUUAUCUCACAGUUAAAUAGGAAAAAUUAAUUGCCACAGUUGCAAUUGAGAAGAUUUAAUUUUGGAUGCAAAUAAGAUAUGACAGGCAGCAGCACGUAUCAGUUUAUAAACUGAUUUUAUAACAGAGAAGUGUGUAUAAAUUUGCCAUUGAACAUUGCACAGCAUACAGGCAACUUGUAGAAAGCGCUGUGGAGCAGAAGUAUGAGAGUACGAGAGUUCAAUGAACUCAUCACAGGUCCACUAAGAUUUUCGUGCCAUGGCGAGGGAAGAUAGCAAAGUUACAUCAACAGUCUGAAGCAAUAAUGACAACGAGCACAACUUCAAGAGCAGUCAAUCAAAAUAUGCCCCCUUGAUACUCCCCCUUGCGAUAAAGUGCCUCCUCGGUGAACUCUAAGCACUGACAACGACUCGCCAUCGACAUCGACAUCACGUUGCUCCCAGUAUAAAUUUCAAUAUCUUACGAGCAUGUGCUUGCUCGCUUUCGGCUUUAUCUUUUUAUCUCUUUUAAUCUUUUUAUACCCUGUGAACAUAUAAAACAAAAUAAAAAGUGGGUAUUUUAA